AGCGAGGCUAGAGUCACGCCCCGAUAUCAUCCGUUGUCCUGGUGUGCUAGAGUGCUCGCAGAGAAAAUGUCUUUGUUUAUUCAUUGGCUGCCGUCUUUGUGGUCCAGCCAAUCACCAACUCAGAUACAUGA
ensembl:snoRNA